UAAUACGGGGGGAGCUAGCGUUGUCCGGAAUUACUGGGCGUAAAGGGCGUGUAGGUGGAUCAAUAAGUCAGGGGUGAAAUGUACUUGCUCAACAAGUAACCUGCUUCUGAUACUGUUGAUCUUGAGUUCAGGAGAGGAAAGCGGAAUUCCUGGUGUAGCGGUGAAAUGCGUAGAUAUCAGGAAGAACACCAGUAGCGAAGGCGGCUUUCUGGCCUGUAACUGACACUGAGGCGCGAAAGCGUGGGGAGCAAACAGGAUUAGAUACCCUGGUAGUCCACGCUGUAAACGAUGGGUACUAGGUGUCGGGAGAUUCGAUCCUCUCGGUGCCGCAGCUAACGCAUUAAGUACCCCGCCUGGGGAGUACGAUCGCAAGGUUG
rnacentral:rRNA from 1 species